CCGCAAGGUUAAAACUCAAAGGAAUUGACGGGGACCCGCACAAGCGGUGGAUUAUGUGGAUUAAUUCGAUGCAACGCGAAAAACCUUACCUACCCUUGACAUGUACGGAACCUCGCAGAGAUGUGAGGGUGCCCGAAAGGGAGCCGUAACACAGGUGCUGCAUGGCUGUCGUCAGCUCGUGUCGUGAGAUGUUGGGUUAAGUCCCGCAACGAGCGCAACCCUUGCCAUUAGUUGCUACAUUCAGUUGGGCACUCUAAUGGGGCUGCCGGUGACAAACCGGAGGAAGGUGGGGAUGACGUCAAGUCCUCAUGGCCCUUAUGGGUAGGGCUUCACACGUAAUACAAUGGACGGUACAGAGGGCUGCCAACCCGCGAGGGGGAGCUAAUCCCAGAAAGCCGUUCGUAGUCCGGAUUGUUCUCCGCAACUCGAGAGCAUGAAGCCGGAAUCGCUAGUAAUCGCGGAUCAGCAUGUCGCGGUGAAUACGUUCCCGGGUCUUGUACACACCGCCCGUCACACCAUGGGAGUGGGUUUCACCAGAAGUAGUUAGCCU
rnacentral:rRNA from 1 species